rnacentral:rRNA from 1 species
UACGAAGGGGGCUAGCGUUGUUCGGAAUUACUGGGCGUAAAGCGUGCGCAGGCGGCUUCUCAAGUCAGGGGUGAAAGCCCAGAGCUCAACUCUGGAAUUGCCUUUGAGACUGAGUGGCUUGAGUACGAGAGAGGUGAGUGGAAUUCCCAGUGUAGAGGUGAAAUUCGUAGAUAUUGGGAAGAACACCGGUGGCGAAGGCGGCUCACUGGCUCGUAACUGACGCUCAUGCUACGACAGCGUGGGGAUCAAACAGG